UACGUAGGGUGCAAGCGUUAAUCGGAAUACUGGGCGUAAAGCGUGCGCAGGCGGUUAUGUAAGACAGGUGUGAAAUCCCCGGGCUUAACCUGGGAACUGCAUUUGUGACUGCAUAGCUAGAGUACGGUAGAGGGGGAUGGAGUUCCGCGUGUAGCAGUGAAAUGCGUAGAUAUGCGGAGGAACACCGAUGGCGAAGGCAAUCCCCUGGACCUGUACUGACGCUCAUGCACGAAAGCGUGGGGAGCAAACAGG
rnacentral:rRNA from 1 species